ensembl:snoRNA
CAGAGAGUGAAAAAUGAUGAUACUGCUUGUAUGCUGCCUAGGUUACAGUGAAGACCUCAGAUCCAACUCUGAUUUCACUCUAGU